rnacentral:pre_miRNA from 1 species
CCUUAUGGAUGAGCAAAGAAAGUAUUUUCUUGAAAUGGAAUGUACUCCUAGUGAAUGUACUCCUAGUGA